AGCAGCCGCGGUAAUUCCAGCUCCAAUAGCGUAUAUUAAAGUUGUUGCAGUUAAAAAGCUCGUAGUUGAAUUUCGGGAUCAGUAGGUCGGUCGUGCCACUGGUAUGAACUGGUCUCACUGGUUCCUCCCUCUUGACGAACUGCAAUGCUAUUAAUUUAGUGUAGUAGGAAAUCAGGACUGUUACUUUGAAAAAAUUAGAGUGUUUAAAGCAGGCUUUAGCUUGAAUACAUUAGCAUGGAAUAAUGAAAUAGGACGUUCGAUCCUAUUUUGUUGGCUUCUAGGAUUGACGUAAUGAUUAAUAGGGACAGUUGGGGGCAUUAGUAUUCAAUUGUCAGAGGUGAAAUUCUUGGAUUUAUUGAAGACUAACUACUGCGAAAGCAUUUGCCAAGGAUGUUUUCAUUAAUCAAGAACGAAAGUUAGGGGAUCGAAGACGAUCAGAUACCGUCGUAGUCUUAACCAUAAACUAUGCCGACUAGGGAUCGGAUGAUGUAAUUUUUAAUGA
rnacentral:rRNA from 1 species